rnacentral:rRNA from 1 species
AGUGAACGCUGGCGGUAGGCCUAACACAUGCAAGUCGAACGGCAGCACAGGAGAGCUUGCUCUCUGGGUGGCGAGUGGCGGACGGGUGAGGAAUACAUCGGAAUCUACUUUUUCGUGGGGGAUAACGUAGGGAAACUUACGCUAAUACCGCAUACGACCUACGGGUGAAAGCAGGGGAUCUUCGGACCUUGCGCGAUUGAAUGAGCCGAUGUCGGAUUAGCUAGUUGGCGGGGUAAAGGCCCACCAAGGCGACGAUCCGUAGCUGGUCUGAGAGGAUGAUAAGCCACACUGGAACUGAGGCACGGUCCAGACUCCUACGGGAGGCAGCAGUGGGGAAUAUUGGACAAUGGGCGCAAGCCUGUUCCAGCCAUACCGCGUGGGUGAAGAAGGCCUUCGGGUUGUAAAGCCCUUUUGUUGGGAAAGAAAUCCAGCUGGUUAAUACCCGGUUGGGAUGACGGUACCCAAAGAAUAAGCACCGGCUAACUUCGUGCCAGCAGCCGCCGCAG